AACGGGUGAGUAACACGUGAGUAACCUGCCCUUAACUCUGGGAUAAGCCUGGGAAACUGGGUCUAAUACCGGAUAGGAGCGCCCACCGCAUGGUGGGUGUUGGAAAGAUUUAUCGGUUUUGGAUGGACUCGCGGCCUAUCAGCUUGUUGGUGAGGUAAUGGCUCACCAAGGCGACGACGGGUAGCCGGCCUGAGAGGGUGACCGGCCACACUGGGACUGAGACACGGCCCAGACUCCUACGGGAGGCAGCAGUGGGGAAUAUUGCACAAUGGGCGCAAGCCUGAUGCAGCGACGCCGCGUGAGGGAUGACGGCCUUCGGGUUGUAAACCUCUUUCAGUAGGGAAGAAGCGAAAGUGACGGUACCUGCAGAAGAAGCACCGGCUAACUACGUGCCAGCAGCCGCGGUAAUACGUAGGGUGCGAGCGUUAUCCGGAAUUAUUGGG
rnacentral:rRNA from 1 species